AGUGAACGCUGGCGGUAGGCCUAACACAUGCAAGUCGAACGGCAGCACAGUAAGAGCUUGCUCUUACGGGUGGCGAGUGGCGGACGGGUGAGGAAUACAUCGGAAUCUACUUUUUCGUGGGGGAUAACGGAGGGAAACUUACGCUAAUACCGCAUACGACCUACGGGUGAAAGCAGGGGAUCUUCGGACCUUGCGCGAUUGAAUGAGCCGAUGUCGGAUUAGCUAGUUGGCGGGGUAAAGGCCCACCAAGGCGACGAUCCGUAGCUGGUCUGAGAGGAUGAUCAGCCACACUGGAACUGAGACACGGUCCAGACUCCUACGGGAGGCAGCAGUGGGGAAUAUUGGACAAUGGGCGCAAGCCUGAUCCAGCCAUCGCGCGUGGGUGAAGAAGGCCUUCGGGUUGUAAAGCCCUUUUGUUGGGAACGAAAAGCAGCAGGUUAAUACCCCGCUGUUCUGACGGUACCCAAAGAAUCAGCACCGGCUAACUUCGUG
rnacentral:rRNA from 1 species